CCUACGGGAGGCAGCAGUAGGGAAUAUUGCGCAAUGGGCGAAAGCCUGACGCAGCGACGCCGCGUGAGGGAUGAAGGUCUUCGGAUCGUAAACCUCUGUCAGCAGGGAAGAACGGUCACUGUGCUAAUCAGCAGUGAAUUGACGGUACCUGCAAAGGAAGCACCGGCUAACUCCGUGCCAGCAGCCGCGGUAAUACGGAGGGUGCAAGCGUUAAUCGGAAUUACUGGGCGUAAAGCGCUCGUAGGCGGUAUGUCAAGUCAAGGGUGAAAUCCCCGCGCUCAACGUGGGAACUGCCUUUGAAACUGGUAAACUGGAGUGUGUAAGAGGAUAGUGGAACUCCAGGUGUAGGAGUGAAAUGCGUAGAUAUCUGGAGGAACAUCAGUGGCGAAGGCGACUAUCUGGCACAUAACUGACGCUGAGGAGCGAAAGCGUGGGUAGCAAACAGGAUUAGAUACCCGUGUAGUC
rnacentral:rRNA from 1 species